rnacentral:rRNA from 1 species
CCUACGGGGCGCAGCAGUAGGGAAUCUUCCACAAUGGGCGAAAGCCUGAUGGAGCAACGCCGCGUGGGUGAAGAAGGUCUUCGGAUCGUAAAACCCUGUUGUUAGAGAAGAAAGUGCGUGAGAGUAACUGUUCACGUUUCGACGGUAUCUAACCAGAAAGCCACGGCUAACUACGUGCCAGCAGCCGCGGUAAUACGUAGGUGGCAAGCGUUAUCCGGAUUUAUUGGGCGUAAAGGGAACGCAGGCGGUCUUUUAAGUCUGAUGUGAAAGCCUUCGGCUUAACCGGAGUAGUGCAUUGGAAACUGGGAGACUGGAGUGCAGAAGAGGAGAGUGGAACUCCAUGUGUAGCGGUGAAAUGCGUAGAUAUAUGGAAGAACACCAGUGGCGAAAGCGGCUCUCUGGUCUGUAACUGACGCUGAGGUUCGAAAGCGUGGGUAGCAAACAGGAUUAGAUACCCCUGUAGUC